AGAAAUUGCAUCUGUAUACAUGAUAGGGUGUUCUGCUGAUGCUGCCCCACUGAGAAGAAGAGGCAGCACAGCCCUUCUGCAGGAGUUUUCCAGCAGGGACUAAGUGUGAUGUUCCUCCCUUCCUUGCAGCCAUGGUGGUUUGCAGCAGGUUUCUGCCUUGGUUUCCACAACCAUUGCCAACUGCUCAGCAUCUCCGGGAGGAUUCCCAGGAGGGGACACAGCCUGGAUCAAAAUCUGCUCCACUGGGGUUUUCCCCAAAGGAUUUCCUCUCCUUUCUGUAGAUCGGAGCUUAUGUGGCUUUGGUGUGCUGCCACCCGGACCAGGUGUCCUGCACCUUCUGGGCAAGGGAUAUCUAGAGGAGGAGAGGCACGACAGCACCCAGACAGCACAUCCAUACCAUGAAACCUUGGGCUACUCCUGGAUUAAUGGACCAGAGGAGAAAGCAGAAUUUCUAGCAUAUGGAAAAUGUCCUUGCUGCUCUUUUUCAAAAUCUGACUGUGGUCAGAAGUGUACUGAACUCAGAACUAUCUGAAACUUUUCUCCAGCUGAAAAUUCUAAGACAAUUGCAUUUCAGAAACAAUUCAACGUGAUGCUUGAAAAGAAAAUGUUCUUUUUGGACCCCAAGGCUGCUUAGCAAAUUUGAUGGGCUUAUGGUUCCAGAAGCUGAUGCAGAUUUCCAACAGGCACAUCGUGUCCUUUUUCAGCAAGAUGUGUGCCAUCACUUUUCUCUUUAUGAUCCUGUCUGAAAGGAACUUCUUCUACUGGACUGAAGGACAGAGGUCUCAUUACGCAGAAGAAGUGGAUGUUAUUAAUAAAUAAAUUCAGUCCCAAGUGCUGCGUGCCAAGAUAACCAAACACCUCAUGGGGCAGGAGGGACAGCUUGCAGACUCCACGGGAGCACACAAUUGUAGAACUCCAGAUUUCCAGAGGGAACUGUGCUGCUGCCAUGCCAAAAGUUGCUGAAACGCCAGCUCACCUCCUCUCCCUUAAUGCUGCAGCCUGGCUUAGGAGUCCUCCAUCCAUCCUCUGUCACAGCUACACACAUGAGCCCACAUUGUGCUGGAAGCUCCUGUUUGCUUUGGUGCCUGCUGAACUUGUACCGCUGCUUCCCACCUGGGCUAGUGCAGAACAAGGCAUUUUCCCACGGAGAAGAGACUUGUCACCAAUUGUCUUUUACAUCUUCUACAAGGGGGACCUGGUCUCAAGUGAACAUGGGCACGUUGAGGUCUCAAUUCACUGCGUUCUUACAGCACGGCAUUUUCAUGUGCUUUGUCUACCAACCCCAUUAAUACAGGCAGGGAAAACAGUUGUAAGAUGUAAGCAGCAUUGAGACAUCUGUGUGCUGCCUUUACACUCAGCCCCUCUCAAUGUGCUUUUGAGCACUGUCACAGAGUCUGCCAAAAUGUAGGUUGCUAUUAAGGUUAUUUAUUUGAAAUUUGGCUUUGGCUUCCCCUUUGCUCCCCAGGUAACAGCAUUGCACUGAAUGGGCCUGAACCAAGUUCUCUCCAUUAUGUACUUUUAGUUUGACAGUGAGGUGGAGGCCUCAGUUGUUUUCCAUGCAUCAGUCCCACAUUAACUGUACAAGUGCAGAAAAGAGGCACAGCAGAGAGGUAGGCAGCUUAAAAACCACAGCCCCAGGUUUCAAAGCCUGCACAGCUCCUGCAGGAGGCACUGCCCACUAAUGAGCUCUCAGGAGCAGCUCCUCAAAGAUUUGCAGACAGAUCUGUGCCUGCAAACAUCAUCUCCACUGAGAUCUUGCUCCUCCCAGAAGGCCAUGUCCCAUCACAGCACUGGUCCUGGUGUCUUGCACAAAAGAGUGUCAGAGAGAGAGAUCGUGCAAGAAACAUUGCUUAUCUGCCCUGAAUUGUGGGAAAUUGGAUAGUGGAUCAGGUCCUGGUAACACAUGGGCAGAUUUUCUAUCUCACACUUAGAAGGUUUGUGGAGUGACUCAGCCAAAAACCACUGAGCAGACAAGCAAUAAGUUGUGAGCCCAGAGCCUUUCUUCUCCAUUUGCCCUCAGUCUAAAAAGUCAAUAUUUCCCGAUAAUUAAUGAUAUCUACUUAAAUGACAGAAGAAGCAUGAUAAGUGAAGUAUUUCUCAAAGGAGAAGAAUAAAUUAACAGAAAACGAGUGAUUUGUAAUAUAAUAUCAUUUCAUUUAGAGAUCCUACGUCCAUCCUAUAGCAGGAAAACUGUACCACCUGUGCUCAGCAGUGACUACUGGACAAAUUCAGUGUCUUUCUAGGAAGGAGAAAUGCUGAAGUCCUACUUCAUGUCCUCCUUUGAACCACGCCUCGUGCAGACGAGGUCUGUAGAAUCAUAGAGCUGCUUGAGUUGGAUGGGCCCUUUAAAGGUCAUCUAGUCCAACUGCCCUGCAAUGAACAGGGACACCUACAGCUAGAUCAAGUUGCUCAGAGCUCAGUCCAGCCUGAAUCUGCCUUCCAUGCCUGGUACAAAUCACAUAACCAAAUCAAAGCUACUGACCAGAGUUUCUCAGGGACACAAAGCUACCAGCAAUCCAUGUGUUAAAAUAAAAAGUCCUUUCAGAUCACUGCUGAGGACCAUACGAGCAUAUGAGGACCUGUACCAGCUCUUCUUCAUGUCCUGUAGGUGAGGCUCACAGCAGCAGCCCUGCACUUCUCAGUUGCCACUCUUCCCAAGCCAAAAGCUGCUCCUGGAGCUACACGCUUACCAGCUUUUCACCUGUUGGGUCCUGACCACUUCACUGACAAGGUUGAUACCUUCAUAUGGGAAGGUGGUGGAGCACCACAGGCUGGUAACUGGCUUGUAACUGAGGAAUAGAUAAAACUGAGGUGUGUAAACCCUGUCCACUGCUCUCCAUAUCACUCAGCUCGACUCAGACCUGCCCAAACCAUCAGGUCUUGCAGGGCAGAAGCACUGCGUUCAGCACCACAGCAUCUUUUUAACCAAGACCUCUGGAAGCAAGAGUUCAUGUGGCUUUAUUCCUUUCUGCUAGAGGUUUGUGCUGUCAUAGAGUGAAAAAAUAAUGAGUUUUGUUUGCCACAGAAGUGUAGAGGACAGAGAUUUUUCAUUUGCAUGACUAUUUGGGGAGCUUUCACAGCAAAUGCAAAAUCCAAUUUCCUUCCAGUUUUUCAGCUACAGGGAAUAACGUGAGAGGCACCAAGGGCUGACAGCUGAUGGAGAGAAUUACAGCAGCCUCCAGUGUAAGCAGAGAGAGCAAGAUGCACCGCUAACCUCGCUGACACAGAAACAACAGACUGGGACCAGGCUCGCACCCAAACUUGCACCAUACUCAUGCCAUAUAGACAAGGGCUCGUACUUUGCUGUGGUUUAGGUGGUUCAGAAGUCUCCUGGGCAUCCUAGUGCCUGAUUUAGUUGUUGGAAACCCUGCCUGAAGCAUGCAAUUAGAGCUGGAUGGUCUUUAAGGUCCCUUCCAAUCCAAGCCAUUCUGUGAUUCUAUGAUAAUUCUGUGAUAAUUCUAUGUUUCUAUGAUUUGGCAUCAAUCCUCCUCUCGACAGAUAACUCACUUGAACAAAACCAAAAGCAUUUCCAUGGUCUUAUCAGCUUUCCCAUCUGGUUCUAUUUCUGCUUGUUUUACUCCUUUCUCUACUCUUCUCUCUGUUCCUUAUUUGGUGCAUAUACUUAUUUUUAAAAUGUGUGGUGCACUGUUCUGAACCUUAUUUGCUAGACAUCACAUUUCCUUUUCCUAAGCCUCCUGACACUGCUUACUGCUCCAUUUUAUGCCUAAUGCCGUCAGCUGCGCAGUAAUUACACAGAAAUGUGUUGGUUCCUCGAAUGUGUGUGGAAAUCGUGUCCUUCUGUGUGUGCC
ensembl:lncRNA